UACCACACAGUUUAUUGAUUUUAUAUGUUUGGCAUGAUUGUGCAUGAAUGCAAAAAAAAAAAAAAUAGCAUAUACUUACUAACAUCACAAAAUUAAAGCGGAGAGAAAACUAAUUCACCAUAACGUCGUUGCCGAAGAGUGGUAGAAAAUGGUGAAUUGUUUAAUGUGUGUAGUGUUAAAGCACAACACAUCAUCUUACAUGUAUAAAUAUAAAUGGAUAUACGUUAAUGGGUUUGUGUGUUCUUACCACACAAGUUUAAGAGUCCGAUAGGCCGUUAAAAAGGAAAUCUAACCAUUCUAGGAAAGGAGUGUAAUAAUAUAUAUAUCUUUUAAGCAAGGGAUAUAUAAAAACAUGUUUUUACAUAACGAACAUUUUUCACUUAGCAUUGUUUGACUAUUCAUGUGUAUGUUUGUAAUAUUUUCGCAUUAUUGAUUAUUUUGCUAAACAAAGUGAGAAAGAUAAAAAUAAAAAAAGAAACACAAGAAUAUAUAUAUUUUCCGUCC